UCAGGAUGAACGCUGGCGGCGUGCCUAAUACAUGCAAGUCGAACGAGGUGCCUUUGUAGCAAUACGAGGGUAUCCUAGUGACGAACGGGUGAGUAACGCGUUGGUGACCUGCCCCAAAGUGCGGGAUAACAGUCCGAAAGGAUUGCUAAUACCGCAUGUGGUUCUUGGAUUUAGAAACCGAGCUCUAAAGGAGCAAUCCGCUUUGGGAGGGACCUGCGUCCCAUCAGCUAGUUGGUGAGGUAACGGCCCACCAAGGCUACGACGGGUAGGGGACCUGAGAGGGUGGCCCCCCACAAUGGAACUGAAACACGGUCCAUACACCUACGGGUGGCAGCAGUAGGGAAUAUUGGGCAAUGGGCGAAAGCCUGACCCAGCAACGCCGCGUGUGUGAUGAAGGCCUUCGGGUCGUAAAGCACUUUUCUGGGAGAUGAGAAAGGACAGUAUCCCAGGAAUAAGUCUCGGCUAACUACGUGCCAGCAGCCGCGGUAAAACGUAGGAGGCAAGCGUUAUCCGGAUUCACUGGGCGUAAAGCGCGUGCAGGUGGCGUGGUAAGUUGGGCGUGAAAUCUCCCGGCUCAACUGGGAGAGGUCGUCCAAUACUACCGUGCUAGAGAGCAGAAGAGGAAGAUGGAAUUCCCGGUGUAGUGGUGAAAUGCGUAGAUAUCGGGUGGAACACCAGUGGCGAAGGCGAUCUUCUGGUCUGUUUCUGACACUCAGACGCGACAGCUAGGGUAGUAAACGGGAUUAGAGACCCCGGUAAUCCUAGCCGUAAACGAUGUGAACUUGGCGUUGGUGGGUUAAACUCCAUCAGUGCCGUAGCAAACGCGAUAAGUUCACCGCCUGGGGA
rnacentral:rRNA from 1 species